rnacentral:rRNA from 1 species
AUUGAACGCUGGCGGCAGGCCUAACACAUGCAAGUCGAACGAGUGGCGGACGGGUGAGUAAUGUCUGGGAAACUGCACGAUGGAGGGGGAUAACUACUGGAAACGGUAGCUAAUCCCGCAUACCAUCGGAUGUGCCCAGAUGGGAUUAGCGAGUAGGUGGGGUAACGGCUCACCUCGGCGACGAUCUCUAGCUAGGCUGAGAGGAUGACCAGCCACACGGGAACGGAGACACGGUCCAGACUCCUACGGGAGGCAGCAGUGGGGAAUAUUGCACAAUGGGCGCUAGCCUGAUGCAGCCAGGCCGCGUGUAUGAAGAAGGCCUUCGGGUUGUAAAGUACUUUCAGCGGGGAGGCGUUACCCGCAGAAGAAGCACCGGCUAACUCCGUGCCAGCAGCCGCGGUAAUUC